UUAACGCGAGGAAACCUACCUGGCCUUGACAUGUCGAGAACUUUCCAGAGAUGGAUUGGUGCCUUCGGGAACUCGAACACAGCUGCUGCAUGGCGGUCGUCAGCUCGUGUCGUGAGAUGUUGGGUUAAGUCCCGCAACGAGCGCAACCCUUGUCCUUAGUUGCCAGCACGUAAUGGUGGGAACUCUAAGGAGACCGCCGGUGACAAACCGGAGGAAGGUGGGGAUGACGUCAAGUCAUCAUGGCCCUUACGGCCAGGGCUACACACGUACUACAAUGGUAGGGACAGAGGGGUGCAAGCCGGCGACGGUGAGCCAAUCCCAGAAACCCUAUCUCAGUCCGGAUUGGAGUUUGCAACUCGACUCCAGAAGUCGGAAUCGCUAGUAAUCGCAGAUCAGCAAUGCUGCGGGAAUACGACGU
rnacentral:rRNA from 1 species